UCGAGAAUCAUUGUCAAUGCACGAAAGUGUGAACAUGCGACGCCGCGUGGAGGAAGACGGCCUUCGGGUUGUAAACUCCUGUCAGCAGGGAGGAAGGAUAGCUGCUCUAAUAUAGCAGUUAUUUGACAGUACCUGCAGAGGAAGUCACGGCUAACUCUGUGCCAGCAGCCGCGGUAAUACAGAGGUGGCGAACGUUGUUCGGAUUUACUGGGCGUAAAGGGUCCGCAGGCGGUUCGGUGUGUCGGAUGUGAAAGCUCACAGCUCAACUGUGGAAUUGCAUUCGAAACUGCCGGACUAGAGUACUGGAGGGGAGAAGGGAACACUUGGUGUAGCGGUGAAAUGCGUAGAUAUCAAGUGGAACACCGGAGGCGAAGGCGCUUCUCUGGACAGAUACUGACGCUCAUGGACGAAAGCUAGGGUAGCGAAAG
rnacentral:rRNA from 1 species